rnacentral:SRP_RNA from 1 species
GCUGGUUGUGGUGUUACCUCCUGUAAUCCCAGCUAUUGGGAGGCUGAGACUGGUGGGCCCCUUGAGCUCGGGAGUUCCAAAUUGCAACAGGCUAAGCUGUCUGCACUCAGUUGGGCAUUAAUAUGGUGAGCUCCUGGGAGGGUGUGUGUUGGGGCACCAGGUUGCUUAAGAAGGGGUGAACUGGCCCAGGUCGGAAAUAAAGUAGAUCAAAUCUCUUAUGCUCAUUGGAGUGGAAUUAAUCCUUUGUAUUUCCAGCAUGCGUGAGCUAGAGAGACCAAGCAUUU